CUCCUCCAAUACGCCCUGCUGACACUGCUUGUUCCAGGUGUGGCACGGCCCAGAUCUCUACGGGGAACAGCAAGAAUCAAUUCCACUUCCCACAAUGCACACCCACGGCCAUGCACUGAAGGAUCGGUCGGAAUGCCGGCCUAGGAUGUAGAAAGGAAGCAAAAUGAAAGUCUGGGGAAGAUAACUGUUCCUGCUCGCACCUCUUUUCACACAGAUCUGAUGGAUGAUAUGGGAAUGGAUAUGAACAUAAAGGGAGUUGUGCGCAAUUCUGCUUUCUUGCUAUGCAACAGGACACUCAUUGAUUAUAGAUGGAAAUGUCACAUCGCA